UACAGAGACUGCAAGCGUUAUUCGGAUUCACUGGGCGUAAAGGGUGCGCAGGCGGUUGGGUGUGUCAGAUGUGAAAUCCCGAGGCUCAACCUCGGAACUGCGUCUGAAACUACUCGACUAGAGUACUGGAGAGGGUAACGGAAUUCACGGUGUAGCAGUGAAAUGCGUAGAUAUCGUGAGGAACACCAGAGGCGAAGGCGGUUACCUGGACAGUUACUGACGCUCAGGUACGAAAGCAUGGGGAGCAAAAGGG
rnacentral:rRNA from 1 species